GCCUCAAUAGCUCAGUUUGGUAGAGCGGCUGUUUUCCGAGCAGCAGGUCGAGGGUUCGAAUCCCUCUUGAGGCU
rnacentral:tRNA from 1 species